GCCACAACAAGCCCAACCACACCACAACAGGCCCCAACAACCAAACCCACCAACCAAAACAUUUGCCACGAGGAAGUAGCUGCGACCGAACCCAACCCACGACGCAAUAGAGACAGUACUGCGAAGAAAAGGUGAAAGAAGGUUACACCAAAAGCAAAAAAAAGCAGGAAUAAGACCCCGUACCUCUUGCAUCACCGUUUAGCAAGAACACACAGACAAGGCGCCACCCAAGUCUGACCACCCGAAUGCAAGUGAGCUAUUUUUUGGUAGUUUAAUAGAACUAACCCAUUUCUGUUGCAAAAGAACGGGAAAACCUAAAAAUAGAGGCAAAAAACCAACCGAACUUGCCGAUAGCUGGUUGCCUGAUACACGAACCUAAGUUCGACCUUUGGUACCGCAAUAUAAACAUAAUGUAACCUCUACCAAAGAAUUAGUCAAUGAAGGUACAGCUCCAUUGACACAGGGUACAACCUUCAUCAGAGAGUAAAAACUUCAACAAAUAAUGUUGGCCUCAAAACAGCCACCAGAAAAUAUUACGUUACAGUAACCAAAAAAAAAUACAACACACCACCACCUCCUGACAGCAUACCCAGGCUAUUCUACCAUCAUAGAAGAAACGAUGCUAAAACUAGUAAUAAGAAACAUUCUCCAGACAAAAUUUUACACUUAUCAGACCUUAUACACGGCACAUGGAACCCUCUACAUAGACCAUAAAAUAAACUGUAAAACCAACUCAGGGUUGUCUACGGACGACCAACAGCCUAAAAAGGAACUCGGCAAACAACCUCUCCAACUGUUUACCAAAAACAUAGCCUUUAGACCACCCAAUAUUAAAGGUGUCGCCUGCCCAAUGAGGGCACUUAGCUCUUAAACGGCCGCGUACAUUAACCGUGCAAAGGUAGCAAAAUCAUUUGUCCCCCAAAUAGGGACCAGUAUGAACGGCUACAUGAGAGAGGACCUGUCUCUUUAGGCCGGCCAAUGAACCUGAACAGCCUGUACAAAUGCAGGCAUAAGAAAACAAGACAAAAAGACCCUGUGAAACUUUAAAUGUCCAUCAACCUAUGAUCAAGACAUUUUUGGUUGGGGCAACCAAAGAGAAAUACAAAUCUCAUAACCCGUCACACGGCAAACACGCCAAAUGACACACACUUAAGACCCAGCAUCACUGAUCAAAGAACCAAGCUACUCCAGGGAUAACAGCGCCACAUUCUUAAAGAGUCCGUAUCAGCAAGAAUACUUACGACCUCGAUGUUGGAUUAGGGCAUCCCAAUGGCGCAAAAGCUAUUAAGGGUUCGUUUGUUCAACGAUUAAAGCCCCACGUGAUCUGAGUUCAGACCGGAGCAAUCCAGGUCGGUCUAUAUCUGUUAAACGCUUCAUCCAGUACGAAAGGACCGAUAAAGCAGGGGCUAUUUAAUAAUACCCCCUAACUGCUAAGAACUGCGAACGAAUAAAGUUCAUCGCAACUCUUACCCACCUACCUCCCAAGAAAAGGGAUGCCCACACGCUCAGCGUGUGGGCUUUUUUUGCC
rnacentral:rRNA from 1 species